rnacentral:rRNA from 1 species
GGACCAUCCUCCAAGGCUAAAUACUCCUGACUGACCGAUAGUGAACCAGUACCGUGAGGGAAAGGCGAAAAGAACCCCGGCGAGGGGAGUGAAAAAGAACCUGAAACCGUGUACGUACAAGCAGUGGGAGCACAGGUUUACCUGUGUGACUGCGUACCUUUUGUAUAAUGGGUCAGCGACUUAUAUUCUGUAGCAAGGUUAACCGAAUAGGGGAGCCGGAGGGAAACCGAGUCUUAAUUGGGCGUUAAGUUGCAGGGUAUAGACCCGAAACCCGGUGAUCUAGCCAUGGGCAGGUUGAAGGUUGGGUAACACUAACUGGAGGACCGAACCGACUAAUGUUGAAAAAUUAGCGGAUGACCUGUGGCUGGGGGUGAAAGGCCAAUCAAACCGGGAGAUAGCUGGUUCUCCCCGAAAGCUAUUUAGGUAGCGCCUCGUGAAUUCAUCUCCGGGGGUAGAGCACUGUUUCGGCUAGGGGGCCAUCCCGGCUUACCAACCCGAUGCAAACUGCGAAUACCGGAGAAUGUUAUCACGGGAGACACACGGCGGGUGCUAACGUCCGUCGUGAAGAGGGAAACAACCCAGACCGCCAGCUAAGGUCCCAAAGUCAUGGUUAAGUGGGAAACGAUGUGGGAAGGCCCAGACAGCCAGGAUGUUGGCUUAGAAGCAGCCAUCAUUUAAAGAAAGCGUAAUAGCUCACUGGUCGAGUCGGCCUGCGCGGAAGAUGUAACGGGGCUAAACCAUG